rnacentral:snRNA from 1 species
GUGCUCAUAUCAGCAGCACAUAUACUAAAACUGGAACAAUACAGAGAAGAUUCACAUGGCCCCUGUGCAAGGAUGACAUGCAAAUUCAUUCCAUAUUUUU